AUACUUUCCUGGCAGGGGAGACACCAUGAUCACGAAGGUGAUUUUCCCAGAGCGAGCUAUCAUAUCCCUUGCACUCCGCAUGUGCAGACCCCUGCGAUUUCCCCAAAUGUGGGAAACUUAAUUGCAUAAUUUGCGGUAGGGGGAGACUGCGUUUGCGCUCUCCCCUG
rnacentral:snRNA from 1 species